UGCUGUUUUUGGACUACAACUCCCAUCAUCCCUGACCUGGCCUGCUAGCUAGGGAUGAUGGGAGUUGUAGUCCAAAAACAGCU